AUUGAACGCUGGCGGCAUGCCUUACACAUGCAAGUCGAACGGCAGCACGGGUGCUUGCACCUGGUGGCGAGUGGCGAACGGGUGAGUAAUACAUCGGAACAUGUCCUGUAGUGGGGGAUAGCCCGGCGAAAGCCGGAUUAAUACCGCAUACGAUCUACGGAUGAAAGCGGGGGACCUUCGGGCCCCGCGCUAUAGGGUUGGCCGAUGGCUGAUUAGCUAGUUGGUGGGGUAAAGGCCUACCAAGGCGACGAUCAGUAGCUGGUCUGAGAGGACGACCAGCCACACUGGGACUGAGACACGGCCCAGACUCCUACGGGAGGCAGCAGUGGGGAAUUUUGGACAAUGGGCGAAAGCCUGAUCCAGCAAUGCCGCGUGUGUGAAGAAGGCCUUCGGGUUGUAAAGCACUUUUGUCCGGAAAGAAAUCCUUGGCUCUAAUACAGUCGGGGGAUGACGGUACCGGAAGAAUAAGCACCGGCUAACUACGUG
rnacentral:rRNA from 1 species